rnacentral:lncRNA from 1 species
AAUGAGCAACAACCAACAGGACUUCUUUUCUGUUUUAGCCCACCUUGAGAUUUUUGAAAGUGAUGCUAAUUAGUCUCAGGGUUGGUCGGAUUCUCCAGUGCCAGGGGAAUGUGUGAGGGACUCAGCUCUGAACAGAAAAAGAAAAAAGGUGUUUCACCUGCUCCUGACCAGAUUCCUGGCCUGGAACACAUGGCCACAACUCCCCACAUAAAGAACAGAGCACAGAGUUCUCCUUGCUAAUGAGUUGCUUUGACACCACAAAAACAGAGCUGAAUCAUUGCAACAAACACCCACUGGAUCGCAUUGAAAAAGCCAGCUACUGUGUUGCAAGCCAGCCUAGGGAGAGGCCCAGGUGGCAAGAGAUCGAGUGCAGCAUGAGAGUACAGCCAGCCAAAAACUAAAGCCCUUUGUCUGACAGCCUGCCAGGAACUGAAGGCAGCCAGGCACCACAGGAGCCAGGAGUGGAUCUUUCUGCCACCUUGCAUGGAUGAGCCAGACAGCAUGCACAUUUCUCUCCUGUGAAUUCACGUGGCAUUACCUACUCUAUUUUCAAAGCUCUGCCGAAUUCUAUGAAAUGGCAGAAUGAAAUUCCAUUGAUGGACUGUCAGAUAUAAGCAACCACUGGCAAGCUGUUUAGGUAGAAGCAAUACAGUGUGACCAUUGCACUGUUCACAAAGCUGCACUUUCUUUUAUAAAUGUUUCUGCCCCAUACAAUCAUAUAAAUGGAUUUGAGGGUGUUUUGUUUUGUUUUGUUUUGUGUUUUGUUAUUGUUGUUGUUUAAAGACAGGGUCUUGUACAGCACGAGGCCUGCUAUGUUGAGGAUAACCUUGAUCCUCCUGCCUUUCCCUACUGAGUGCUGAGAUUACAGUAUGAGCUACUGUGCAGUGCUUGGAAUGGAACCCAGGGAUUUGUGUAUGCUAGGCAAACACUAACAACUGAGCUAUGUCUGCGGCGGCCCAGAAACAUUUUUUUUUUCUUUUAAAAGAAAAGCUUGGUGUUGCUUGUCAUAAUGAGCUAUAGUAGAGAGAAUAUGAAUCCCAAAGUCAGGAGUCCCUGAGGUAACAAGCCCCACCUCCCACUUGUGGGUGACCUUGGACAAAUCGUCUGGCUUCUCCAGUCUACUUUCCAGUCUAUAACAGGAGGAUAAUAGUCCCUCAUGGGCUAUCCUCAUGGGCGCUUCCCUGGGUGUUGGGAGAACACAUGAACAGCAGAGUAUAUAAAAGAAUGUGAAGUGCUUUCAAGGUCGGGGGGGAGGGGGGAAUAAGCUUUGGUAUUACAUCUUAGGUAUUUAAGCACGGUUGAGGUUAUGAAAUUUCCUCUAUGAUUUAAUUAACUUUAAUUUUAGACCCUGCCAACAUAGUCUAAGGGUAGUAGUGAUGGUUGCCCAGAGCCGUGGACUCAAAACAAAAGUGAGACAUCGCUGGCCCAACUCCAGUGCUUGUGUGUAAAUACCUAGAGGGUGAUUGGCCUGGACUUAGCAUGUGACUAGAGAUAGAGCAAAGGUACAAGGUUCCGGGGGGGGGGGGGGGGGGCUGAUCCUGACCUGCUCUACAGAGGAAUUUCUAACAGUUUGGCCAUCCAGUCUGUGAGACUUGACCCAAAGAGAGAAGCUUCGGUGGCUGGAAGUGCAUGGAUGGCAGAGGGGAGCCUCAGAAGGGAUGUUGAAUUCCCCCAGGGACGAUUGUCACUGGGAGUUCUCAGAACAUCCCAUUUCUCCUCUGACAGUCGACCAUUCUCAGCCCAAGGUGGACUAGAGGCUCAGUCUGGCACCUGCAGGCUCAUGCCAUUCCCACCUUUUCAUUAGCUGGAACCAUGUUGUCAUUGACCCUACUCUUGGUGACAUCUGUUUCUAUAAUAAAUAAGUAAAUAAACCUUUGUUUGUUUGUUCCUUCAUCAGUUAGUUAUCUCGGUGCUGUGGAUCAAGCCCUUGCGUUUGCUUGGCAAGCACUGCAUCACGGACCUACACCCGCAGCCCAUAAGCCCUUCUUCAUUGUGAAGUCAAUGUGUCAACCUUUUAAAGACACCAGGCCUAGGGGCUUAGGACCUAACCUUGAAACAGCAUUGAACUUUGCAGGGAGCACUUUGGAUUCAAACCAGAGUGAAAUCCCUGUGUGCUGUUAGUAGGGCCUUGGUAGAACGGGUUUUCAGCGCAUACCAGCUUCAUUGCCUCCUGUGGCCGCAGUGGGAUGUCCCGCAGAAGCAGCAAAGAUCCCAUAGUGAAGCUGAACAUGCUCUUCCCUGGAGAUGGAGAAGCAGUCCACGUGUGACAGCAGAUAAAUGACAGAGCAAGGGAAGGACACUGCUCAGUGCCCCUGCAGCUCACACAUACUCUGGUGCUUUCUCUCCGCCUUCUUAGGGGUGUCCUGUCAUUUCCCCUAAGCAAAAACAUACACAAAAAGAAAUUGCUGACACACUGCAAAGACUCUGGGAUAUGUCCUUGUCAAUUUGAUAACUUGGAAGACCACAUUUAGCAAAUAAAUGCUGUAACAGAUGUUUAUCAGAUGCACAACUAUCACACAUAGCUGUCAUAUGCAACCAUACACAGCUAUUUCAUACACAACUGAUAACACACUAAGUUCUUUUCCCCAAGGUAUACAGAGUCCCUUUCCCUCCUCAGGAGGGUGCUCUUCAUUCUUCUCGACAAUUCCCUUGGUAUCCUGUACCAUAAAUACUAUAAAUACUGAUACACAAGGCUAACUACUAUUAACA